AGUGGCGAACGGGUGAGUAAUAUAUCGGAACGUGCCCUGGAGUGGGGGAUAACUAGUCGAAAGAUUAGCUAAUACCGCAUACGAUCUACGGAUGAAAGUGGGGGAUCGCAAGACCUCAUGCUCGUGGAGCGGCCGAUAUCUGAUUAGCUAGUUGGUGGGGUAAAGGCCUACCAAGGCAUCGAUCAGUAGCUGGUCUGAGAGGACGACCAGCCACACUGGGACUGAGACACGGCCCAGACUCCUACGGGAGGCAGCAGUGGGGAAUUUUGGACAAUGGGGGCAACCCUGAUCCAGCAAUGCCGCGUGUGUGAAGAAGGCCUUCGGGUUGUAAAGCACUUUUGUUCGGGAAGAAAUCCUUUGGGCUAAUAUCCUGGAGGGAUGACGGUACCGGAAGAAUAAGCACCGGCUAACUACG
rnacentral:rRNA from 1 species